rnacentral:lncRNA from 1 species
AGCUGGAAAACGUUCAGGCUUUUGAGUGGACUUGGGCUCAAAUCUGGUGUGGAUCACUUUAUUAAACUGUCUGUGGAAGAACAGCUUAAGCCCAUUCCGUGGUUGUUCCCAUGCAUUCAGUGGCCUGAGCAGCGGGAACUGCACACCAGUCUCCAGUGGCGGCUGAGCACUCCAGUCUGCAGCAGGGAACUGCUGAAUAGGCACAGAGGACACCUGCAUGCCUUCAGACCAGUCUGCAACCUUGAGCUGAAAAGCAGUAAAUCUGGGAGCUGGAGCAGUCCAUUGACGCUGAAAUUCCUCCUUGGUGAAGGCCUUUGUCAGCAGUGGUCUGCUCUUCUAUUUCAAUCUCUUCAGGAUUCUGCAGAAGCAGAGAUCAGGCAAGACCUCCCAUGGGUCGCCAUCACAAAGGCUGGUGCCACACCCGUGCAGAACUUCCUGGGCCAGCAUCCACCACAUCAGAGCUAGUGAGUGAGCUCCCUUAUUGUUGGACAGGAUGGCCAUGUCCACAUAGCACAGGGGAGAGUCUGUGUUACACACAGUGAUGGCAGGCAGGUUAACAUAAGGGCCUCUGAGUGAGGCUGGUGGUCAGCUGUGGGAUCAGUAACCACUGGAAGCUUUGGCUCCUGGAAGGCUGCCAGGAUCCCGUUAGUGAAGGUUCCAGCAGUGAAGCAGCCAGCAAUAGGAGUGGCUCCAGUGGCAGCAGCAACCUUUAGCACAGCCUGCUGGCCAGUAUUCCUGGAGGAUAUGACACUGACAUCCUCCGGCUUUUCAAUGGGCAUAAUGGCAUGAGAAGCUUCUCCCAGGUUCUCUUGACAUUUAUGAGGUAAUGCCAUCAUUUUUCCUUUUGUAGAUGUAUUGUUCCAUUUGGAAGUCAAGGUUGGUGCCACCUAAGUGGGUACCUGCUGCAAGGAAUUUAAGGACAUCCUCCUCCUUCAUUUUCAGGACAUCAAGGGCUCUGGACAUCGUGAAAGCUUCCCUUUAAGUUACAAUAGGAACCCAGAACAAUGCCGUGUGGAGCCGGCUCGGGGUAGCUCAGAAAGGCCAGAAAUUUUCAUCGAAACUUGAUGAAGGCACUUCUACGAGGGGCUAAGUUGCUGUGGUCCGCAUGUAUGGGCUUUUGGAACUCUAAUUUGAUUCAAGGCCAGAAGUUAGAUAUUCACAGAAGUGGAAGAAUAGAUGCGCCUUAUGCUAAAACUUUAGAUACCAUUUCUUUCAGCUGGAUUCUGAGUCAUUGCAACUCCUUACUCCUGAAAUUUUGUGUUUAGUUUUCUACUCAAACCCUUCCCCUUGGUGGAGAACAUCACAACUCACAGCUCUUCAGCUGGACCUGUAGUUUUGCCUGGCAAUUCUGGAUUUCCCCAGUUAUCUUCCUCUUUUCCAUUAUCUCUGACUAUUCAAACCACCCAUCCUGAGGCAUCCUCUCUCCCUCUCAAUAGAUGAUCUUAUUUGGUACUUGCUCUAGAUU